ACAGUCUCUGACUUUCUCCACUCCGUCCCUGCCAGCAGCCCCUGUUCUACCUCUAUGCCAUGAGCACACAUGGGGAUACCGUCGUGCACAGGGGGUACCAUCCUGCAUGGGAGGUGCCAUCGUGCAUGGGUGGUACUGUCCUGCACAGGGAGUACCAUCCUGCACGGGGGGUACUGUCCUUUGCUGGGGAUACCGUCAUGCAUGGGGGGAUACCAUCCUGCACAGGGGGUACCAUCCUGCAUGAGGGUUACUGUCCUGCACGGGGGGUACCAUCAUGCAUGGGGGUACCAUCGUGUACUGGGGAUACCAUCCUGCAUGGGGGGUACCAUCCUGUACAGGGGUUACCAUCCUUCACUUGUUGUAUGGUCCCGCACCGAGGGUACUGUUCUGCACAGUGUACUGUUCUACAUGAGGGGUACCAUCCUGCACAGGGGCUACCAUUCUACACUGGGGGUACCAUCCUGUACAAGGGGUACUGUUCUGCAUGAGGGGUACUGUUCUACGCCAGGGGUAUUGUCCUACACCAUAUUCAGGACUUGAAUUCAGCUCUGGAUCAAGUGGACCUAGUAGACAUCUACGGAAUUCUUUACCCAAAGUCAACAGAAUAUACAUUCUUCCCAGUGCCACGUAGCACUUAUUCUAAAAUCAACCACAUAAUUGGAAGUAAAACACUCCUCAGCAAAUGCAAAAGAUUGGAAAUAAUAACAAACAGUCUCUCAGACAACAGUGCAAUCAAAUUAGAACUCAGGAUUAAGAAACUCACUCAAAACCACAUAAUUACAUGGAAACUGAACAACCUGCUCCUGAAUGACUCCUGGGUAAAUAGUGAAAUUAAGGCAGACAUCAAGAAGUUCUUUGAAACCAAUGAGAACAAAGAGACAACAUACCAGAAUCUCUACAACACAGCUAAAGCAGUGUUAAGAGGAAAAUUUAUAGUGCUAAAUGCUCUCAUCAAAAAGCUAGAAAGAUCUCAAAUCGACAUCCUAACAUCACAAUUAAAAGAGCUAGAGAGACAAAAGCAAACUAAUCCAAAAGCUAGCAGAAGACAAGAAACAACUAAGAUCAGAGAAGAAUUGAAGGAGAUAGAGACACAAAAAAUACCCCAAAAAAAUCAAUGAAUCCAGGAGCUAGUUUUUUGAAAACAAAAAAAAAAAAAUAUAUAUAUAUAGCCCCAAAAUUUCUUGAACUGAUAAUCAACUUCAUUGAAGUCUAAGGAUACAAAAUCAAUAUGCAAAAAUCACAAUGAUUCCUUUACAUCCACACUAGGCAAGCAGAGAGCCAAAUCAUAAAUGAACUCCCAUUAACAAUUUCUACAAAGAAAAUAAAAUACCUAGAAAUACAGCUAACAAGGGAUGUGAAGGACCUCUUCAAGGAGAACUACAAACCACUGCUCAAGGAAAUAAGAGAAGAUGGCAAUCAUUAAAAAGUCAGGAAACAACAGGUGCUGGAGAGGAUGUGGAGAAAUAGGAACACUUUUACACUGUUGGUGGGACUGUAAACUAGUUCAACCAUUGUGGAAGUCAGUGUGGCGAUUCCUCAGGGAUCUAGAACUAGAAAUACCAUUUGACCCAGCAAUCCCAUUACUAGGUAUAUACCCAAAGGAUUAUGCUACUAUAUGACACUUUAUGCUGCUAUAAAGACACAUGCACACGUAUGUUUAUUGCAGCACUAUUCACAAUAGCAAAGACUUGAAACCAAGCCAAAUGUCCAAAAAUAAUAGACUGGAUUAAGAAAAUAUGGCACAUUUACACCAUGGAAUACUAUGCAGCCAUAAAAAAUGAUGAGUUCAUAUCCUUUGUAGGGACAUGAAUGAAGGUGGAAACCAUCAUUCUCAGCAAACUAUCGCAAGGACAAAAAACCAAAUACUGCAUGUUCUCACUCAUAGGUGGGAAUUGAACAAUGAGAACACAUGGACACAGGAAGGGGAACAUCACACACUGGGGCCUGAUGUGGGGUGGGGGGAGGGGGGAGGGAUAGCAUUAGUAGACAUACCUAAUGUUAAAUGAUGAGUUAAUGGGUGCAGCACACCAACAUGGCACAUGUAUACAUAUGUAACUAACCUGCAGGUUGUGCACAUGUACCCUAAAACUUAAAGUAUAAUAAAAAAAUAAAAAAUAAAAAUAAAAAAAAGAGAAGAUGCAAACAAACGGAAAAACAUUCCAUGCUAAUGGAUAGAAAGAAUCAAUUUUGUGAAAAUGGCCAUACUGCCCAAAGUAAUUUCUAGAUUCAAUGCUAUUCCCAUCAAACUACCAUUGACAUUCUUCACAGAAUUAGAAAAAACUAUUUUAAAUUUCAUGUGGAAUCAAAGAAGACCCCAUAUAGCCAAGAUAAUCCUAGUCAAAAAGAACAAACCUGGAGGCAUCAUGCUACCUGACUUCAAACUGUACUACAAGGCUACAGUAACCAAAACAGCAUGGUACUGGUACAAAAACGGACAUAUAGACCAAUGGAGCA
rnacentral:lncRNA from 1 species